GCCUUCGUGGUGUAAUGGUCAGCACGCUCGACGCGUAACCGAACGAUCCAUGGUUCGAUUCCUGGCGAUGGCA
rnacentral:tRNA from 1 species